rnacentral:rRNA from 1 species
GACGAACGCUGGCGGCGUGCUUAACACAUGCAAGUCGAACGGUGAAGCAGAGCUUGCUCUGUGGAUCAGUGGCGAACGGGUGAGUAACACGUGAGUAACCUGCCCUUGACUCUGGGAUAAGCGUUGGAAACGACGUCUAAUACCGGAUACGAGCUUAGACCGCAUGGUCAUCGGUUGGAAAGAUUUUUUGGUCAAGGAUGGACUCGCGGCCUAUCAGCUUGUUGGUGGGGUAAUGGCUCACCAAGGCUACGACGGGUAGCCGGCCUGAGAGGGUGACCGGCCACACUGGGACUGAGACACGGCCCAGACUCCUACGGGAGGCAGCAGUGGGGAAUAUUGCACAAUGGGCGCAAGCCUGAUGCAGCAACGCCGCGUGAGGGAUGACGGCCUUCGGGUUGUAAACCUCUUUUAGUAGGGAAGAAGCGAAAGUGACGGUACCUGCAGAAAAAGCACCGGCUAACUACGUG